GUGCUCGCUUCGACCACAUAUGUACUAAAACUGGAAUGAUAGAGAGAAGACGAGCCUGGGCCUGCACAAGGGAGACAUGCAAAUUCAUGAAACAUCCCAUACAUUU
ensembl:snRNA U6 U6 spliceosomal RNA